GUCUCGGUAGUUUAAGGGAUGAAGAGCACCCCCUGGAAAGCACUAGUACGGGUUCGAGUCCCGUCCGAGGCC
rfam:Haemonchus contortus, ISE/inbred ISE, WGS project CAVP01000000 data, contig: Hcontortus_contig_pathogens_Hcontortus_scaffold_10353